ACGGCAGCCUGAGAUAUGUUGGGUUACGGGAGCUGCCGGUUGUCUGUUACUGAUAAGGCUUUAAGUUGCUCUUGAUUGCAGCUUUUGAACUUUCUAUACAGGUCUGGCUGAGCAGGAGGGAAUCCUAUUUCCAGCUGUGCUUUGCAGUACCCAGAGCGCUUCGAGAGUAUGUCUGACUUUUUACACCAAGGAACAAACAGUUUGUAAUUCUCCACAACAGCAACAACUUCAUACAUUUCUUGCAUAGAAUACCUGGAAACAGAAAUAGGAAUGUUACAGUUACAAGGAAGAAGAAAAUCUUGAGAACUACAAUAUAACCUAUGAGCAAACAUUAGCAUGGAUUUGGGACAGAAUGAAACAGAGUUUUCACACUUCUUGGUUUAUUCAUGUUUUACCAGAUGAAAUUAUAAGUGUAUUACUCCCUUUCAAGUGGUGCAGCAAUGUUGAAGAAAUUCCUUGAAAAAGUCUGGCUCGUUACAGGUACUUGCAAAGGAGAAGUUCUGGUCAUCAGAACACCACAAGAAGCCAAGUGCCUGAAACAGUGAAAAUGCUUUUAGAUGUGUUUCAUAUCAGCAAAAUAAGUAACAGCACAUUCAAGUGGGACAAACAACCUGUUGUAUAACAUUCCAGAAAAUGUCUGUCAGAUGGAAAAGCAAAGGCUCAUAACAGUACACAAACUGUCAAACAUUUCUUUUCCUUAAGAGAAACUAAAAACAGCCCCCAGUCAUGACAAAAGUAACUGGCAGAGUGAAACACAGAGGCCCUCAUUAAACACUUGAACACAUGGCAGCCUGAGUUCAUGUACAAGUCUCAUAUGCACUUAAUUUGCAGAACAGGUUUUCCUGAUAGCAAAAUCAAGGUUUGCAAUACUUAUCCCUUUUGGAAUACACAAAGUAGAGAAGAUUUCACUUGGAGAUACAAAGUUGAACUCUGGUGCCAUCCUUCUCUUAAAAGGACAGUUUAAUUUUGAAAGUCCAUUCGGAAGGUGCAUUGUUACCCAGCUUUCCAAAUUUCCUUCAGAAAAUAUAAUCAAAACCUU